GUACUUGCUUUGGUGGCACAUAUACUAAAAUUGUAAUGAUAGAAGAUUGGCAUGGCUCCUGUGCAAGGAUAGCAUAAAAAUUUGGGAAGCAGUCCAUUUAACU